rnacentral:rRNA from 1 species
UACGUAGGUGGCAAGCGUUGUCCGGAAUUAUUGGGCGUAAAGCGCGCGCAGGCGGUCCUUUAAGUCUGAUGUGAAAGCCCACGGCUCAACCGUGGAGGGUCAUUGGAAACUGGGGGACUUGAGUACAGAAGAGAAGAGUGGAAUUCCACGUGUAGCGGUGAAAUGCGUAGAGAUGUGGAGGAACACCAGUGGCGAAGGCGACUCUUUGGUUUGUAACUGACGCUGAGGCGCGAAAGCGUGGGGAGCAAACAGG